rnacentral:rRNA from 1 species
AAACUGCGGAAGGCUCAUUAUAUCAGUUAUAGUUUAUUUGACGGUACCCUUACUACUUGGAUAACCGUAGUAAUUCUAGAGCUAAUACAUGCCCGGUAACAGCGACCUCUCGGGGAAGCUGCGGACUUAUUAGAUUAAAAGCCAAUCCGGCCUCGGCCGGUCGUUGGUGAAUCAUAAUAAUUUCACGAAUCGCAUGGUCGCAAGACCGGCGAUGGGUCAUUCAAAUUUCUGCCCUAUCAGCUGUGAUGUUAGUGUAGUGGACUAACAUGGCUAAAACGGGUGACGGAGGAUUAGGGUCUGAUUCCGGAGAGGGAGCCUGAGAAAUGGCUACCACUUCCAAGGAAGGCAGCAGGCGCGUAAAUUACCCAAUUCCGACACGGGGAGGUAGUGACAAGAAAUAACAAUACUGGGCAUCUAAUGCUCGGUAAUUGGAAUGAGUACAACGCAAAACCCUUAACCAGGAACCAUUGGAGGGCAAGUCUGGUGCCAGCAGCCGCGGUAAUACCAGCCCCAAUAGCGUAUAUUAAAGUUGUUGCAGUUAAAAGGCUCGUAGUCGAACGUAUGGCUUCGCAGCCCUGGCCCUCCACUUCGGUGGGGCGUGACGGGGCUUGCAAGUCAUCCUUCUGGGGAACCUUUCUGCCCUUGAUUGGGUGGGGAGGGGAUCCAGAUCUUUUACUGUGAGAAAAACAAAGUGUUCAAAGCAGGCUUCACGCUUGUAUGCAUUAGCAUGGAAUAAUAAGAUAGGACUUCGGUUCUAUUUUGUUGGCUUCUCGAACCAAAGUAAUGAUUAAUAGGGAUAAUUGGGGGUGCUAGUAUUUAGCGGUCAGCGGUGAAAUGCGAGGACCCGUUAAAGACUAACUAAUGCGAAAGCAUUCACCAAGGGUAUCUUCUUUGAUCAAGAACGAAAGUUGGGGGAUCGAAGACGAUCAGAUACCGUCGUAGUCUCAACCAUAAACUAUGCCAACUGGGGAUUGGCGGUCGUUGAUUAUAUGACCCCGUCAGGACCCUAUGAGAAAUCAAAGUCUCUGGGUUCUGGGGGGAGUAUGGUCGCAAGGCUGAAACUUAAAGGAAUUGACGGAAGGGCACCACCAGGAGUGGAGCCUGCGGCUUAAUUUGACUCAACACGGGGAAACUUACCAGG